CCUACGGGAGGCAGCAGUGAGGAAUAUUGGUCAAUGGGCGGGAGCCUGAACCAGCCAAGUCGCGUGAGGGAAGACGGUCCUAUGGAUUGUAAACCUCUUUAGGCGGGGAGCAAUGCCGGGCACGCGUGCCCGGAGGGAGAGUACCCGCAGAAUAAGCAUCGGCUAACUCCGUGCCAGCAGCCGCGGUAAUACGGAGGAUGCGAGCGUUAUCCGGAUGUAUUGGGUUUAAAGGGUGCGUAGGCGGAUUUUUAAGUCAGCGGUAAAAUGUCCGGGCUCAACCCGGGCCGGCCGUUGAAACUGGGGAUCUUGAGUGGGCGAGAAGUAUGCGGAAUGCGUGGUGUAGCGGUGAAAUGCAUAGAUAUCACGCAGAACUCCGAUUGCGAAGGCAGCAUACCGGCGCCCGACUGACGCUGAGGCACGAAAGCGUGGGGAUCGAACAGGAUUAGAGACCCUAGUAGUC
rnacentral:rRNA from 1 species